GGCCACAUCUGCCAGAGCCUGGAGUCUGCGAAGGCCGGGACCCGGUUCCCCGGCCCACCGUGGGGGGGGGUGUGCAAACCCGAGAGAACUGGGAAGUGCCGUCAGAAGCGAUAACUGACGACGUCUAAUGUCUAUCUGACCGCAGUCGCUGAAACCUCUACAACUUAGUUGACCGUAACUGCCAGAGCCCUGCCCUGAAUUCCUGUCCUUACUCCCUCUUUAAGAUUGCGUACCCACUGCAGAGUGCUGAAGACGGGGUAGCCACGAGGUUGCAAAUUCGUGAAGAAUCAGCAUCAUGUUUGGCAGCUGAGUAUUGGAGCCAGGAGCCUGCCAUGAGGUUUUGAGAACAGAGUGCUGUUUUAGAGCUGGCAGCAGCAUCUCAGCCCAAGAGAAGCCGAUGCAGCCUCAGUGUUCCUUUGCCUUGGGGGUUUCUGAGUGGGGGGGUUGUAAGCAGAUCCUGCCAGGCACCCAGAAGGAAACCUCAUCAGGACUCCCUCAGAAAGGCCCUGAAGAAUCCUGUGACCUUCCUCUAAAGUAGGUCGUGAGACCCCUGAGCUUAAAACGGAGUGAUCGGCUUUGGAGAAAAAUCCCUGGAAGGCACGCAGGCUGGACAUCAUCAUAUAUUCUCUACAGAUGGAGACACCAAAGCCCACGCCUUCUGUGCUGUUGGAAUUUCAGGAAGGAUGGGGGUGGGGCACGGCCUCAGCCCUGGGCAU
rnacentral:antisense_RNA from 1 species